rnacentral:misc_RNA from 1 species
GGGAGGAUGUGGGGGUAUGGAAGGGAGGGAGUAUAAGAUUAGGGUUAGGACUAGGGUUUUCAUGUUGUAGAAAUGGCUGAUCUAAAUUUGCUGGAAAUAAUAAUGAUGAGAUAUUGAUUUGUGGUGGACCUGGAUCAGCUUCCCCUACGGGCUGGCAGGCUAACCAUGGUGGGACAUUACUAUCUGGUUUUGUAUUAAAAAGAUGGUGGCUUUCUUUCUCUCUUUUCACCGAUAGGCCUUGCAAAUUGAUCAUAUGAGAAGCGGAGGAGCUAGGCUGUUGAUGAGAAGAGAGAAGUGGGUGGUUCAAUGUGAUGGCUCUUGCACUCUCUUCUGCUAAUGCAUCACAGAAGGCUCUGUGGGUGAUGAAACUGUCCCUCCUAGAGAAAAGGGUUCCACAAUCACAUCUAUACUCUCUUGUGCCACAAAUCUUGGAAUGGGCUUUCCAGUCUGAUUGUACAGCAUAACGCUUUGAGCACUUUUCACACUUCCACUUCUUCUCACCAUGCUUUCUGCAGAAGUGCUUCUUGAUCCCUGU